ACUCCUGCGGGAGGCAGCAGUGGGGAAUAUUGCACAAUGGGCGGAAGCCUGAUGCAGCAACGCCGCGUGCGGGAUGACGGCCUUCGGGUUGUAAACCGCUUUCGCCUGUGACGAAGCGUGAGUGACGGUAAUGGGUAAAGAAGCACCGGCUAACUACGUGCCAGCAGCCGCGGUGAUACGUAGGGUGCGAGCGUUGUCCGGAUUUAUUGGGCGUAAAGGGCUCGUAGGUGGUUGAUCGCGUCGGAAGUGUAAUCUUGGGGCUUAACCCUGAGCGUGCUUUCGAUACGGGUUGACUUGAGGAAGGUAGGGGAGAAUGGAAUUCCUGGUGGAGCGGUGGAAUGCGCAGAUAUCAGGAGGAACACCAGUGGCGAAGGCGGUUCUCUGGGCCUUUCCUGACGCUGAGGAGCGAAAGCGUGGGGAGCGAACAGGCUUAGAAACCCUAGUAGUCCCAUGA
rnacentral:rRNA from 1 species